AUUGAACGCUGGCGGCAGGCCUAACACAUGCAAGUCGAGCGGAGCGGCGGACGGGUGCGUAAUGCCUAGGAAUCUGCAUGGUAGUGGGGGAUAAGGUCCGGUAACGGGAGCUAAUACCGCAACCUAUCAGAUGAGACUAGGUCGGAUUAGCUAGUUGGAGGGGUAAAGGCAUACCAAGGCGACGAUCCGUAACUGGUCUGAGAGGAUGAUCAGGCACACUGGAACUGAGACACGGUCCAGACUCCUACGGGAGGCAGCAGUGGGGAAUAUUGGACAAUGGGCGAAAGCCUGAUCCAGCCAUGCCGCGUGUGUGAAGAAGGCCUUCGGAUUGUAAAGCACUUUAAGUUGGGAGGCGUUACCAACAGAAGAAGCACCGGCUAACUUCGUGCCAGCCGCCGCGGUAAUUC
rnacentral:rRNA from 1 species